AUUAGGUCAAGGGGAAGGGCAGUUAAUUUCUGCAAGGGGAUGUACUGCUGCUAAUCCAACUCUGCGUUCUCAGGUGGUCUGUGCUGCACAGUUUGUGGUUCUGCUGUUCCAUAAAUUUCCCACUUAGGUUGGAGCACACAGGAACUGACUGGCCUUCCUAAAGCGAUGUAGUGAAGCUUGCCAGACGUUUGGGGAUAAACCCAUAUUCUUAUUAUUCUCUGCUGUAAUCUAUUGGUACCUUGUUUUCUAGCAUGUUUUGUUCAGUCUAGAAGAUCAUGGUUAAUAGACAGUCGACAAGGUAAGGCUUUUACCCACCUCAGAGAAGAUGCUCGUUUGGAUACCUGGGAUUCUUGCAGGGCAAAGGUUCGACUGUAGUUGUUAAGUAAUGAAGCAGGUUGCCUUUGUGUGUAUGUGUGUUGAGGCUGGGGAGGAUGCUGGGCUGAUUUUUUUUUUCAACGCUAUGACAAACUUUGUGCAGUUUUUUAACCUGUUGUAUACUAUUUUCGAAUAUGUGCUUAUACAUUUAAAAUGUGAUUAUGCACUAAAUGCUAUUGUGCUGUACUUUGGUUUUCACAGCAUUUUUUUUUUUUAAUUUAAUCCUAUACUAUUUGGGUGUGUCUUUAAUACAUGGAAGCAAUUUAUUGGAAUGGGUGUGGAAACUACCAUUUUCCAUUCACAAAACAUCUGAAGAUGGAAGUGUGCCAUUUCCACCUAAGGAGGCAUAAUACCAGAAUGAAAAACCAUGCUGUUACUCAUUGGGAGCAAUGAAAAAUUGCUCAAAAAGCUUGUUUUGGGAUGUAAGACCAUUAGAAGGUUCUUGGAGAUUUGUAGAAUCAUAGAAUGGCCUGGAUUGAAAAGGACCACAAUGAUCAUCCAGUUUCAACCUCCCUGCUAUGUGCAGGGUCAUCAGCCACCAGACCAGACUGCCCAGAGCCACAUCCAGCCUGGCCUUGAAUGCCUGCAGGGAUGGGGCAUCCACAGCCUCCUUGGGCAACCUGUGCUAGUGAUUGUAUUGUUCUUGCAAUCACUUAGGAGAAAUAUGUGGACAUAUGUUCAUAUGUAUCUGAGACAUUUCUUAAUAUUUCUUUGUACGGAUUUUAGGGCAUGUGUAUAAUCAUACGUGAACAUAAAUACAAGUGCCUUGCAUGGAAUGAUCCUGCUGCUAGUUUGGGUUCUGCUAGAAGUUACAGGACAGAUGGAGCUGAAAUUAUUCUGUUUAUCUUUUGUUUUUAUUUUUCCCUUUCAUUUUAUUACAUUGCAGUAACUAUAAUAGAAUAGUUUUAUUUUUCAUGCUUUCUGUGGGAGGAGUGGAGACAAAGAAUUAAGUGUUUAAGAAAAGUCAACAGCAAUAAAGGUUAGAACAUCUGCUGUAGUUUCUUUGACCAUCCACGUGGCUCUUAAUAACUACUGUUCAGUCUGGUUUUUGGGAAGGUGGUGAACACGUAUUAGUUAUAGUGUGACUGUUGGGACCGUACUUACUCCUGUUCUGUGGUUCACUUCUGACCAUAACCUACAUAGAUGGUUUUGUGCGGUUCCACAAACACACGUUUGCUUAUUUUUUCUGUCCUAGUCUUAAGUUCUUAAAAUCUGAUUAUUUUAAUAGAGAAGAGCUUUCAGCCUCCUAGGAUAAACUUCCCAACUCAGCGGUUAAAACUUGCCCUGUCAUGCUGAUUGGUAAAGCUGGAUGUCUCAACUGUGCAGGCCGCAAUAAUACUGAGGAAAUAAAUCUACUCUGAGCUCCUUGUCCUGGAAAGAGGAAAGAAAAACCCUUCUGUUUUAAUGUGGGAACUUUCCUAUGGAAAUGUGGGAUCACUUGUUUGAGUAUAUUGUUUUUAAAGUUGGUAGGGAUGGAGAUUGUAGGGAAUGUGCUCCUUUGCUUUGGCUGCCCAGCCAAAGGUCUGAUGGUUCAGGGUUACUCAGAAGUUCAAUUAAACCAGUCCUUGGCCUGCUGAAAGACAAGACAGGCCCAAAAAACGCAUCUCUACUGGGAGGGGAAGGAAACCAGUCUUCUUUUGGGUGGUUCCCUAAGCUUAGUUCAACAUCAUCUGAGCAUGUCCUUUAGUUCUUGAGCUUAUGUAUUGCGUUUUGUUCAUAGAAGCAGAACUGAUUCAUGCAUUUUUAUUGAAGAUAAUAGCAUAGCUUGUGAAACAGCUCUUCAAUUAGAUCAUUAGAUACUGGGUUGUUUUUGUCUUUACUCGACUUUAGGUAAGACUCCAUGGGUUGUGAAUAGUUUCAUCAGUGUGAGGAUGUAAGAAGAUAAGUGUUCCUAUAUUUGAGCUGCCUUUUUUCUUUCUCUUGCGGGGUGUGGUACAUGACAAAUUUGAGUUGCUUGUCUUGUUCCUUUUUUUGACAUUGAAUUCUGUCAAAAUAAGGUGCUAUUUUGUGUGACACGUUGAAAAACAUUUGUUACCAGCUACAGCCAGUGUUAGCACAUACACUUGUUGGGCUGUGAUGUGAGGGCAGAGGAGAUGCUUGUAAGUGGGUUGUGUUUGCUGUCUCUGACAGUCUUGUACAUGAAAAGAUCUGUUUGUGCUUGAUACUGGUGACUUAAUUCAUGUGGCUCUUGCUGUAAGUGUGUCUUGCUUGCACCUACCUUUAAAUGUGAUGGGAUUGUAUGAACAUCCCGCAGAGCCAUUUGUCAGGAAAAUGGUCAGUUUGACUUGUCUUCUUCCUAGAGGUCUUUGUGUUCUGAAGAGUUUAUCAUCUCUUCUUAUUUGAUUUGUUUAGUUUUGUGAUGUUACUUGGAGCAUCUCAAGUGGCUGUUGGCACUUCUGGGAGUUACAAAGUUUCAUGGAAUUUUGUGCAGAGAAUUUCAUUGAUUAAAAAGCUGGAGUUGCUGUAUGAAAGACAAGAGGUGGACUAGUAAGCACACGGGUCUGUAAAUUACUGCUGAAGUGCUGUGGCAUAUCACAAAUAACUGCUGAAACUUGACUUGCCUUCAUAGUGCCUGUAUUUUAAGGAGAUGGCUGUUUGAUACUUGCUUUGGAAUACGUAGAACUAACUUGGUCUGCAUGCCUUAGGAAUACUGUUGUUUGCAGACAUGUGCAGGACUUUUCCUCAUACCAUGAUUUCAGAUAUUUUUUGAAUGCAUUUUCAACAUUACCCUCACAGGCUGUUUUAUGUUCUUGUUUUUUUUUUGUGGUGCAAUGAGAAAUUCGAACUGAAACUACCUGCUUGGGGAGUGGGCAUGCAGAAGAGCUUUAGCAGGAUCUGAUUGCACAAGCUGUCAGGAAACUAAUUGGAAGUUUGCAUUCAGUCUCGUAGCACGUGGUGGUUUUCACAAAAGAAUAUUUGCUUUAUGUUGGUGAGAGAACUGAGGGCAAUGUAGAAUCUGAGAGAUACGCACCUUUUCCAUGUUUAUAGAGCAUUGCAGACCAGACAGAAGUAGGAAACCAAACAGCAAUCUUGUGUUUCUUCUGCUACAGCAGUAGUGGUUACAGUGGAAGUCUUUUAAGGAGGAGCCCGUAAUACCCAAGGACAUACAUUUAGUGUAGCGUUGGAACCCUACUUUGCACUGUUUCUUAAGGUAUACCAGUAGGAGAGGGGAAUCUUACCUGCAUUAGUCUUUCUACUAAUGGGGUCUGCUGAUGUUUCUAAAAAAGUCAUGUACACUUAACAAAUGUUGAUGUAUAUUUCAUGUGGGAGUACUAGGUUGCAAAACUUUGGCUUAAUGCUUACUCAGCUAAGCUGUCAGCAGUGCUGGGGUUGUACCAAGCUGAUCCCUGUCAGGCUUCUUGCCUUGUGCUUCAGAAAUAGUACAAACAUGUGAAUGGCAGGGCAGAGCUGCUGUUGGACAAUCUUGUUUGAUCAGUUAACAAAAGAAGCUUAACAGGCAAGUAAAUUAAGCAAGUACCUUAGUUUUUGUUAAUGGAAGUGCUGUUCCACGCUGUGGAGAAGGACAAAGUCCUUUGUAAUCAUCAGAUGUAUUCCUUACAUGCUAAAAAACUCCCGAGUAACUGUGUUCCUUGGUAUAAGUACUUGUUCUUUGGGAUUUGAGGUAGUUCAAAAGGAGUGAGUUGACCAGUCAAGAUACGUUAAGAAGAAAAGGUGAUUUUCAGGGGAUUUGUGUUCUCUUAAGGAAUCUCAUAGCAGUAUCUUUGUUUUGACUGUUCACUUCUUGGCCCCUUCCUAUUUUUGCAGGAGGUUUACAAUUGCAAGAGAAAGUGGCAAAGCCUUUACCAUAAUUAUAAUACGUGAGGAUGGGGUUAGCUCAGCCUCUGAUCAAAGUAACUCUCAUGUCUUGUAUUGUGGUUACUGACCAAUUUGAAUUGAGCAAAAUUUGGAAGAGGGUCAGUGUACUGGUGCGCAGAAGCGUGUUGAUGGGUGCAAGUACAGAUGGGAGAACCACUGAACAACAUGCAGCUGACCUCAUGCAGGUUCCUUCUCUGUAAAGGGUUUGCUUUAGUUUAUGUUUGCUGUGGAGUCUUCUCGUAAAAAUAAACAAAAAAUCAAGUUCUUGAAUGAAAGUGGUGCCGUAAAGGCUUUGCAGUUGAUGUCAGAGCACAGUCUGUUUCUGGAAGAUAAAGAAAUAAUAAAACAAACUGGAUGCUUUGACUCCAUGCAGGUAUGGCCUCUUUGCACAGCCGAUAAGACAGUACCUGCAUGUCAUCUCGGUAUUUCUACAGUUUCUGUAUUGGCGAAUAAAUGCCUUGAGUUCACUCAAACCUAAUUGGAGAUAAUGCUGAUAUUCUUCUCUAGAAACUUUGAGUAUUCUUUAGAAACUUGUCAAUUCAGUGAGCUCAGCCCAUGUGGAGGAAUUGAAGGUGUUGAUAAUGGAGAGAAAAGGUUGAACCAAGUAUUUUUGGGUAACUUGAGCAUGGUAUGGUAAAAAAUUAGCGUACCAUUUGUAAUAAGGAAAUACAUUAGGGAUGAGGAAAUUAAGGCCCCAGCCUUCUGUACUUCACUUAUGAUCAUUUUCUGUGACAUUGUUACAUCAUCCCCCUUUCCAUGCUUCUGUUGUUUCUCAUUUCUACUGUGUUUCCAGUGUAUUGCGGAGAACAAAAGGAUAAUGGAGUGAGUGUCAUACAUACUGAACAUGUAGCUAGCAAACAAUGUGAUUUUUGGGCCUAGUUUGUUGGAGAAGUGAUGUAACAUCUAAUGUUUUGCAGAGAAAAAUCACGUUUUCUGCUCAUCUUGUAAUGCACGUACCUUGAAAACAAGUGUCUUUUUGGCGUCCUAAAUUCCAUUAACUCUUUCAAGUGAACUGAGUUACGUGCUGAACUGAUAUAGAAGGUUCUCUAAUGUGGAGAGGGGAAGAGAUGGUAGGGAGGUUAAAAGAAGUUUAACAUUGAAUUAAGUGGCAUUAAAGCCUGCUAAGUAGAUCAGUUGGAUUUCAGUAAUGAUGUAGUAGAUAAGUAAGACGCAUGACUCUUCAUAAAUGAAUGGUUGUAUACUAAUUUCGAAGCCCAUUUUUCUCUAUUGUAGAAAUAGAGGCAAUUUACUUAACUGAACCUUGGAAGACAGCAUCUUAAACUGUAUGUAAAGCAAUUGUUCUUUAAGACUGCAUUUAUUCACUUAAGACUUAAUACAGAGUUUAUAUGCAGGACACAUCUUAACCUUUAUUGGAAAGGUACAGAAUUUGGGUAGCAUCUUAGUUAAAGCAUGGUGAGUCUACCCUUCUUAGUGCACCGAAUAAGACUAUCGCAAGAGGACUGUAGGAAUGAGUUGCACAAAACAGGCUGGUUUCUAAGGCAACAUCUGGAUCUUAAUUUUCAUUUUCUCCACACUCUUUCUAUGAAGGUCAGUUGAGUAUGUGAAUUGCUUAGCAGAAAAGCCUUAUACUUUUCCGUUAUGCCUUUGCUAAUGCUUAUCUUGGCUUCUGGAUUUUCAGUAGGCAGCGUAUCAAAACUACUCACCUUAACCAUCGGCCUCCUCAUUACCCAUUGUGUCAUUUUGUAGCUAUACCACAAAACAUCCCUCAGCAGACUCAUUCUGUGAGCCCUCUUCAGUGUCAACAGGCUGCACAACAAGGACAUCUCAGGUCCAGUGUUCCCGAAUGUCACAUUGCAUCUCUAACAAACUCAGCUUUAUCUGGAUGCAUUGGUUGAACAGAAAUGUAGCUAAACCUGAUGUGAGACCUGCUGGUAGGAAUUGAGCAAUGGAGAAUUUAGUGGAAGUGAGGGGUUCCAAAUAAGAGAAGGCACGUUUUUGGUUACUGCUACCUUAAAACACUCUUGGUUGUGAUAUGGUUUCUUUUUCUUUCUUUCUUUUUUUUUUUUUUUUUUUUUUUUCUUUUUUAAAUUCACAACAUGUUUUCAGGGAAAUGGUGAAACAUUAAUCAGGACAUUUUUCUGAUCAUCUCUGACAUUUGACCUCUGUCUAAAAGUUUAGUGGGGUGUUUGUUCUUGUUCAAACAGUAUUAUUCAGACAACCACAGAGGGUAUUUGUUAACUUUCCAUUGACAGACUGAGUGGUGCAUGUGUGAUUAAACCCCUCAGAGGCCUCUUUCAGGCUUGGAAAUCCUGUCAGAGUUACUGGGCAAGAGCCAGUCUGGCUGUCGUAUUUGGGCUGUUCCUCACUCGUACGAAUUCCUUGGAAGGAGUUUAGUGUUAUUUUGUAAAUAAGAGAAAAUGAUUAAUGAAAUUCCUCUGUGUGAUAUUGAAGAGUAGAGUGUGAUGUCAAAUUCAUCGGUCUUUUUCUGUAUUGGUUUGGACCUGAUGUGUGAUUCAAGGAAGUUUCUGGUUGUGGGAGGCAUGGUGUGGUAUUUUAACUUUUAAAGGAAGCUCGUGCUGCCCAGGGCAGAGUUUGCCCAGCUAAGAAAAUGCAGACUUCCUUUUCAACAAGAAACUGUUCUUAAUUCUUAUUUUUGAGUUUUUCUGUAAGCCUAUGAAGUAAUGCUUAUCCAGGAGCAGCUCUAGAUAAAGGUCUUUUUUCCUGAAUAACUGUGGGAAGUGGGUAGUCUGAGCUGUAUCUAAAAGGGUAUUUCAUGUUUGUGUACUUCAUGUUUUGUAGAGAAGACAAACUUUUGUUUAUUCUGAUAAACCCUUAGAAAAAUCUGAAACGCUGUUGAGAACAUCUAGGAGAGCUCUAGCACUGUACUGUCUGUACAUUGGCUUUUGAGCUAUUCCUUUUUCUUUUCACAGUGAAAACCAGAAAUACCAGCUGUGCUGUUGAGUACUCUUGAGUACUCUGAGCCAUUCAGCAUGGGCAGAUAUGUAUGUGACUUGGUGGUCCUCAGUGUAUUAUGACCAGUGUCUUUAAACACCAUAGACUUUUUUUUUAGCUUGUUUACCUUGAGCAAGAAGUGCUUUUAUGUACUGUGGAACUGCAUGAAGCAGCUGAUGAUGUUUUCUCACUUGUAACUUGAAAUACUGUUUUUCCCUUGACCUUCAUGAAGAAACAAUAAGAUUGUGCAGAUUUAGUACACUUGAAAUAGGAAAAAAAAAAAAUGAUGUUCAGGUAUGUUUUGUUCUGCUAUGUGUUGUAUUUGGCACUAACGUCACCGCUUUGUGGGAGAACCAAACCAGAAAAAAAUAAUUGUAUGAAAAUGCCAGGACAUCUCGUUGCCAGGACUGUUGAUUUUUGAGGUCCAAAGGCCAAUAGGAUCUGCCUGUGCCUCUUGUAAGGGAAUGAAUUGGUGUUGUGUUCUUUACCAUUCAAAAGAUGGCACUGUGUAGAGCUUCUUACCCAAAUCUUGUUAUCAUGCUAGAAGCUAUUACUGGCAUUCAUAUGCCAGAUUCAGCACCUCAAUCCGCAAGCACCUCCUUAUGUGUAGCCUUAUUAAUUUAAGGAAGAAAGCAACAACAAAACAAUGACCACAAA